GACGAACGCUGGCGGCGUGCUUAACACAUGCAAGUCGAACGAUGAAGUUCCUUCGGGGAUGGAUUAGUGGCGAACGGGUGAGGAACACGUGAAGAAUCUGCCCUCCACUUUGGGAUAACUCCGGGAAACCGGGGCUAAUACCGAAUAUUGAAACAUAAGUGGCAUCACUGAGUUUUGAAAGAAUUUCGGUGGAGGAUGACUUCGCGGCCUAUCAGCUUGUUGGUGAGGUAAUGGCUCACCAAGGCGACGACGGGUAGCCGGCCUGAGAGGGCGACCGGCCACACUGGGACUGAGACACGGCCCAGACUCCUACGGGAGGCAGCAGUGGGGAAUAUUGGGCAAUGGACGAAAGUCUGACCCAGCGACGCCGCGUGCGGGAUGAAGGCCUUCGGGUUGUAAACCGCUUUCAGCCAGGGAAGAAGCGAAAGUGACGGUACCCGCCAAAAGA
rnacentral:rRNA from 1 species